rnacentral:rRNA from 1 species
GAAUAGAUACCCCCGGGUAGUCCAUGCCGUAAACGUUGGGAACUAGAUGUGGGGACCAUUCCACGGUCUCCGUGUCGCAGCUAACGCAUUAAGUUCCCCGCCUGGGGAGUACGGCCGCAAGGCUAAAACUCAAAGGAAUUGACGGGGGGCCCGCACAAGCGGCGGAGCAUGCGGAUUAAUUCGAUGCAACGCGAAGAACCUUACCAAGGCUUGACAUAUACGAGAACGCUGCAGAAAUGUAGAACUCUUUGGACACUCGUAUACAGGUGGUGCAUGGUUGUCGUCAGCUCGUGUCGUGAGAUGUUGGGUUAAGUCCCGCAACGAGCGCAACCCUCGUCGUAUGUUGCCAGCACGUAAUGGUGGGAACUCAUAUGAGACUGCCGGGGUCAACUCGGAGGAAGGUGGGGAUGAGGUCAAAUCAUCAUGCCCCUUAUGUCUUGGGCUUCACGCAUGCUACAAUGGCCGGUACAAAGGGCUGCAAUACCGCAAGGUGGAGCGAAUCCCAAAAAGCCGGUCUCAGUUCGGA